CCUACGGGAGGCUGCAGUGGGGAAUAUUGGACAAUGGGGGCAACCCUGAUCCAGCCAUGCCGCGUGUGUGAAGAAGGCCCUCGGGUUGUAAAGCACUUUCAGUGAGGAAGAACGCCUAGUGGUUAAUACCCAUCAGGAAAGACAUCACUCACAGAAGAAGCACCGGCUAACUCCGUGCCAGCAGCCGCGGUAAUACGGAGGGUGCGAGCGUUAAUCGGAAUUACUGGGCGUAAAGCGCGCGUAGGUGGCUUGAUAAGCCGGUUGUGAAAGCCCCGGGCUCAACCUGGGAACGGCAUCCGGAACUGUCAAGCUAGAGUGCAGGAGAGGAAGGUAGAAUUCCCGGUGUAGCGGUGAAAUGCGUAGAGAUCGGGAGGAAUACCAGUGGCGAAGGCGGCCUUCUGGACUGACACUGACACUGAGGUGCGAAAGCGUGGGUAGCAAACAGGAUUAGAUACCCUAGUAGUC
rnacentral:rRNA from 1 species